rnacentral:lncRNA from 1 species
UCUUCAAGAAAUUCCAAAAGAAACAUAAAGAAAUCCUAAAGAAUUUUUAAAGAAAUUAUAAAGAAAUCAUAAAUAAAAUAAUAAGUGCAUCUUAAAGAAAUCUAUAAGAAAUCUUUAAAAAAUAUUUUAAAAAUCUUAAAUAAAUCUGAAAUAAAUCCUAAUCAAAUCCUAUUUUGAUUCUAAUUGAAAUUCUAAUGGAUCUUAACUAAAUUCUAGGUCAAAUCCUAACUAAAUUCUAAAUCCUAAAUCAAAUCUUAUACAAAUCUUAAAUCCUAAACCAAAUCCUAGACAAAUCCUAAAUCUUAAAUCAAACUCUAGACAAAUCCUAAAUCCUAAACAAAACCCUAGAAAAAUUCUAAAUCCUAAAUCAAAUGCUAGACAAGUCCUAAAUCUUAAAUUCUAAAUCAAAUCCUAGACAAAUUCUAAACCCUAGACCAAAUCUAAAUGAAGACUAAAUCCUAAAUCAAAUCUUAAC